GCGGCGCAUUAGCUAGUUGGUGAGUGUAACGGCUCACCAAGGCAACAAUGCGUAGCCGACCUGAAAGGGUGAUCGGCCACAUUGGGACUGACACACGGUCCACACUCCUACGGGAGGCAGCAGUGGGGAAUAUUGCACAAUGGGGGAAACCCUGACGCCCGAACCCCGCGUGAGUGAAGAGGGUCUUCGGAUUGUAAAGUUCUGUCUUUGGGGACGAUAAUGACGGUACCCAAGGAGGAAGCCACGGCUAACUACGUGCCAGCAGCCGCGGUAAUACGUAGGUGGCGAGCGUUGUCCGGAUUUACUGGGCGUAUAGGGAGCGUAAGCGGAUAUUUAAGUGGGAUGUGAAAUACCCGGGCUCAACCUGGGUGCUGCAUUCCAAACUGGGAAUCUAGAGUGCAGGAGGGGAAAGUGGAAUUCCUAGUGUAGCGGUGAAAUGCGUAGAUAUUAGGAAGAACACCAGUGGCGAAGGCGACUUUCUGGACUGUAACUGACGCUGAGGCUUGAAAGCGUGGGGAGCAAACAGGAUUAUAUACCCUGGUAGUCCACUCCGUAAACGAUGAAUACUACGUGUAGGAGUUUAAACAUCUCUGUG
rnacentral:rRNA from 1 species